rnacentral:rRNA from 1 species
CUACGGGUCGCAGCAGUGAGGAAUAUUGCACAAUGGGGGGAACCCUGAUGCAGCAACGCCGCGUGGAGGAUGACGCAUUUCGGUGUGUAAACUCCUUUUAUAUGUCAAGAAAAUGACGGUAGCAUAUGAAUAAGCACCGGCUAACUCCGUGCCAGCAGCCGCGGUAAUACGGAGGGCGCAAGCGUUACUCGGAAUCACUGGGCGUAAAGGACGCGUAGGCGGGUUGGAAAGUCAGGUGUGAAAUCCUACAGCUUAACUGUAGAACUGCACUUGAAACUUCUAAUCUAGAGUAUGGGAGGGGGAGAUGGAAUUAGGGGUGUAGGGGUAAAAUCCGUAGAUAUCACUAGGAAUACCUAAAGCGAAGGCGAUCCCCUGGAACAAUACUGACGCUAAGGCGUGAAAGCGUGGGGAGCAAACCGGAUUAGAUACCCGCGUAGUC